rnacentral:rRNA from 1 species
ACGGAGGAUGCGAGCGUUAUCCGGAUUUAUUGGGUAUAAAGGGGGAGAAGGCGGAGUAAUAAGUCAGUGGUGAAAACCUUCAGCUUAACUGGAGAACUGCCAUUGAUACUGUUAGUCUUGAGUACGGUCAAGGUAGGCGGAAUGUGUAAUGUAGCGGUGAAAUGCUUAGAUAUUACACAGAACACCGAUUGCGAAGGCAGCUUACUGGGCCAUUACUGACGCUGAGGCACGAAAGCGUGGGGAGCGAACAG